GACGAACGCUGGCGGCGUGCCUAAUACAUGCAAGUCGAACGCAGUGGGGACGGGUGAGUAACACGUGGGUAACCUCCCAUCAGAGGGGAUAACACUUGGAAACAGGUGCUAAACCGAUACUGAUGGAUGGACUCGCGGGGCAUUAGCGAGUUGGUGAGGUAACGGCUCACCAAGGCAACGAUGAAUAGCCGACCGCAGAGGGUGCUCGGCCACCAUGGGACUGAGACACGGCCCAGACUCCUACGGGAGGCAGAAGUAGGGAAGCGUCGGCAAUGGACGAAAGUCUGACCGAGCAACGCAGCGGGAGUGAAGAAGGUUUUCGGAUCGUAAAACUCUGUUGUUAGAGAAGCGGUAUCUAACCAGAAAGCAACGGCUAACUACGUGCCAGCAGCCGCGGUAAUAG
rnacentral:rRNA from 1 species